rnacentral:lncRNA from 1 species
AAGGUGGAAAUUGAUUGAUCAUAAACAAAGUACUCAACAUUUUUUCUUGCAGAAGCAAGCAAAACCAAUGCCUUGACGGUGACAAGCACCAGAAGUUGCAUGCUCAACAUUGAUGCACUGUCUUUUACAAUUUCCUGAGAUAAGACAAGGUCCUGACCAUGUUUUGCUUCGCCUUUCACAAAGUUUAGGUUCCACCUCUACAUAUAAAAAAAAAAAAAAAUAUGAAAAAUUAAAAACACAAAAAUAUGGAUUAGAAAAUGAACAAUUAUUAAUAUAGAUUGUUUGAUUAUUUGUACCACAUAUAUCUGGAGGUGAUAUGCAUCGAUCAUAAUGAUUAAUUGUUACAUUUAUAUUGUUAUAUUUUAGUUUUGGCAUUUUAAUAAUCGUUUUAAAGAAUAAUGUUAACAAUAUACUCUUUGGAGCACAUUUUUUGUAGCAGAAGCAAGCAAAACCAAAGCCUUGACGAUGACAAGCACCAAAAGUAGCAUGCUCCACAUUAAUGCAUUGUCUUUUGCAGUUUCCUGUGUUAAGACAAGGUCCUGACCAUGUUGUACUUCGCUUUUGACAAAGUUUUGCUUCCACCUCUACACAUAGAAAGCAAGAAAAUAACAAUGAAGCAAAUUAAGAACAUAAAUAAGGAUUAAUAAAUGAGAAAUUAUUAACAU